AGUGAGAGAUGUUUCCUAGCACUGGUUUCCUUCAACUAUAUGCCUAUUCUUUAGAAAGUAGCUAUUGUACUUUACAUCCCAAUGCAGUAGGAUAAUGAGACACGUUAAAGUCUUUGAGCAAGAGAUGAUGUAUGGCAUACUCAGAAAUCAAUUUACUACAAUAAUUUUUUUAUCAGACACAUACAGGGACUUCAAUGUUUUAGAAGCUUGACCAAUCAGUGAACUGGACAAAGAUUGGUUCAAUCCAACUGAAUGAUCAACUCUUGAUACUACACCAAAACCAGUUAAUUGUCAUCUAAAAUAAAUUAAAUAAAUGAAAAGAAAAUUGCUCCAUGUCAAACUGCCAUCAGGUUCGAUAUUCAUGCAAAUUCGAGGGUCAGACUGAUGGUUCAUAGGUUCUUUUCAAUUUUCGUAAGGACUCAAUUCACUAGUCAAAUUGAACCAGUGGCAUUUCAGUGGCCCAAUUUUCGGGUCCAAUCCAGUUUGUUAAACAUUGAUAUGUGUAUGUGUGUUUUCAAAUUUAAGCAAGGAUAACCCUUAUCCUUAAUGAAUUCAGCACUAAAGGUCUAGGCUCCCAAGUUUGUAUUUGAUUUUUUGUUCUUGUUUGAACUACAUAUUUGAUUUUUUUUGUUAUUGUUUGAACCACAUAUGGAAUAUAUAUUCUAAUAUAUGGGUGAAUGCCAUCUCUUUAAUAUAAGCAAUCUUAUUCUCUUUGAAUUUAUUUGGCAGUCACAAUACAGGCACUACUUUUGGUUAAAUAACAGAGAAAGAAAGAUCAAGAUGAAUAAUAAGUAUAUUUUUAGUAAAUAAAUUAACUUUAACAGUGGAUUGGUUUUUCUGAGCUGUCUGAAGGGGAACACAUAUGGUUAAUUCUUUUAAACACAGGCUGCAUUCUUUUCACAGUAAAGGGGCUGAUUACCAAGAAAAAAUUGUGAAAAAGUUUGUGUUUUUUAAUGUAGAAGGUAUUGAUAAUAGAUGAAAUAUUUCAAAUAGAAAUAUUUUCUAUCCCUUUUACAUUGAAAGGAAUUAAGUUAUGAGAAAUGUUUCAUGUCUAAUAUACUUUUGAGGAAAGUUGGGAAAAUCUGGUGAUUGCAACAAGCACAGAUAAAAAAUCAGGCAAUUCAACUUCACUAACUUAAGGUCCACAUCUCUUAGAGGGACAUGUCACCUUCAACUGAAGCAUUGGGCCUAUGUUAAUAUUAAACAAGAACUGAUGUUGCUUUUCCAGCCUUUCUUGUAUAGCUAUAAUGUAUCUUUAGUUCCCAAAGGGUUCUAACUUCAUCAUAUUUUUGUCUUUGCAUCUGUGUGCAUACUCAUACAGAGUGUUAUCAAAAUAUCAACAUUGACUGGUUGACCGGCUAGUAAGUUGAGAGCCAGACCAACUGCAUGACUAACUAGUUGGUCUAUAUUCAUGAUGUGGUUUCUUAUGAUGAUUGAUGACCAAGUGUUAACUGGGUCGACUAGUCAACCACAAAAUUAUUUUGAAGUUGUUUUUUUUUUUGUUUCUCUAAUUACUUGAAACAAUAUAGAACUUGUUUGUAUUUUGUUAUAGUAAUGAUGUUGCUUUAAAUAUUUGUGAUGGAACAUGUUUGGCUGAUGGCAUAUGAAAUAGAAAAAGGCAUAAAAUAAAAGAAGGCAGUAGAGGAGUUCUUUUAAGUUCAUCUCCAAGUUCCGAUCAAUGGUUUGCUGGUAUAGAAUUGCUACAAACAAAAGGCACAUCAAAUAAUCACGGUUGCACUCUUUCUUUGGAAAACGAAAGCUAUAGCCUAUCCAAUCUAACUAUUUUAUCUUUGCAAAACAGCAACUGUAAACUAAAUGUUCAAUAGCAUUUUCUAUUGCAUAGUUAUGAUCUAUAUCGACUUAUUUAUGAGAUUGCAUUGAUAUCUUAGAUUUAGACUAUAUCCUUUUUCAUCCAUUCUAUUGAAAAUGCUGGCAAUGGGUUGUUUACUUUUAUUUGUUGGCUUGUGCUUGUCAUGCUCAUCCAUGUGUAUUUGGUUUGUUUGUGUUAUUGUGCCAAACUGUAUGUGCUGAUGUACUGCAGUACCACAAGCAUCAUGCUUUUGCCUUAUCUUUUGGAAUAAUUAUUCCCUGUGUUAGUGAUGUUUUAUCUUAUUCUUGCAAUACUGACUUGCCAUUGGGGGUUGCUAAAUUUUGACAUCAUACAUGUUCUAUCAUAUAGUACAAUUGCUUUCUUUUACACUAAUUUCCUCAAAAUUAGACCCUGUUUUAAAAAGGAGAAAAAUACUCUUACAGGUUUUUUAUGAGAAAAUGCUCUUUUGGGAACCGGGGGAGGAGAAGAGGGAUCAUAGGGUGAGCUAGGAGGUGGUGUGUAGAAGCAAAAAUCUGGGUGGCUUGGGGAUUGGGAACAUCAGGAAAAGGAACAUGGCUCUUUUGGGAAAAUGGCUGUGGAGACUCCCAAUAGAAAAGGAGAGACUAUGAGCUAAAAUAGUGGUAAGCAUACAUGGCAUGGAGCAAAAUGGAUGGGAUGCCGGAAUUCGAGCUAGGACCACAAGUGCGUCACCUUGGAAAGCCUUUCACGAUCUGCUUCCAACUUUCUCUCCUCUCAUCAGACGGGCUUGGUAUCUGUAGAACAACAAUUGCAAGAAAUGGGCAUGAUGCCAAAAGAUUGUGAUGAACAAAGCAAAAAAGGUAAUUAAAGCAGUUGCACAUAUGCAGCAUUUGAAAGUAGAGCCAACAUCAAAGUAUCAGAAAAAGCCUCAAAAGGCCAUUUUAAUGUCAACUUGAAUGAAGCACACACAUUGGAUUAGUGAUUCAUGUCAACAAGAAGAAAAAGAAGCAAACUGAACAUGUUUAAUAGACUGAUAGAAAGAAAGCUUGCAGAAGAGGCUCCAUUUCUUAAUCUUUCUUGGCUUCCUUAUUUUCCGAUUUCCCCUUGUUCUUAUUGGACUUCAGGAAGCAGAAGCACGAGCAGCAUGGGAGAUGAAGUAAGAACUUCAUUGUGCUGUUUUUUGGUUGUGCUAAAUGUUGUGAAAACAAUAUGUAUAUAAUGUGGCCAGAGUUAUUCUAUCAUUUCUUGGUUUUUCUUUUUUUUCUUUUUUACAUCCCAUUUACUUUUUCACUCGUCCAAUUGAUUCCUUUCCAAUUGCUUUUGGUAAAGAAGAUGCGUAAUCAAGCCAGCUUCAGGAUACGGGUGUUUGCUGGUUGAUUUAUGAUCAAAGAAAGUCUAUUGGGUUUUGUAUGCCUUUCUUUGUGGGUCAUCUUGGCAACUUGUAAAUAAAGCAUCUCUUUUUGUUCCUUUUCUCAA